rnacentral:lncRNA from 1 species
CAUCACACAGUUUCAACUCGAGAACUCAUCAAAUAAACUUGCUUCAACUGAAAUUAAACCAUCACCAAAGUCCAGGGGUCAAAAUGGAGUAUUUAUGCUCUCUUUUUUUUAUAACGGGGGCUUUUGCACUUUUCCUACUUUGAUACCAUUUUUUUUUCUUUUUUUUUCUCAUGACUAAGCAUUGUCUUAUUCCAUUAGGCUUUUCAGUGCUACCUUAACGAGCUUUCGACCAACGACUCCCAAGCCAUUAAGACCUUAGGGCGCUAGGUGUAGAGACAAUCCCCUCGGGCUUACUUACUCAAGUAACAAAGGCCACAAAACUAGACAAGCAUG